rnacentral:snoRNA from 1 species
AUUUCGUAAUGGGGCUUUCCUUAAUAACUUUUUAAAUAUUCACAUGCCUCAUAUAAGGAUUCGUCAUCCAUUUGCAGGAAGGAAGUGAUCUCAUUUCACAACUU